rnacentral:rRNA from 1 species
UACGAAGGGGGCUAGCGUUGUUCGGAAUCACUGGGCGUAAAGCGCACGUAGGCGGAUCCUUAAGUCGGGGGUGAAAUCCCGAGGCUCAACCUCGGAACUGCCUUUGAUACUGGGGAUCUUGAGUCCGGGAGAGGUGAGUGGAAUUGCGAGUGUAGAGGUGAAAUUCGUAGAUAUUCGCAAGAACACCAGUGGCGAAGGCGGCUCACUGGCCCGGUACUGACGCUGAGGUGCGAAAGCGUGGGGAGCAAACAGG